rnacentral:rRNA from 1 species
AGGCACGCAACCUCCGCCGUCUCCGGAUCGUUCUCCGGCAUCCCUCCGCCGCCACUUCUCCUCCCCGUUCCUAGCCAAGCUCCGGCCCUCCGCCAUCCCCUCCUCCUUGACCGCCUCUCUACUCCUCUGAAGAUGGAACACGGGCCAGCUGCUACGCCUGAGCUGGCACAAGGUCAUCGGGCAGAGGAGGUCCAGCGCCGACGAGCCACUCACGCCCGUGUCUGAGGUCUCGGAGGCGCUGGAGUUGCCGGCCUUACUGAGAUGGGUCGGCGGGGAUGAUGGUGUUGGGGUCAGGAGGGAAAGGCCACCGACGAGGAUGGCGGCAUGGCAGGGGCUUGUUCGGUUAAUCCUCUCCCCAAGAGGAUUGGAGGGGAUUGGCAAGGAUUGGCUUGUAUUUUGACUUACAAGAGGUUUAAAUCCCCUUCAAACCCCUUCAAUCCACUCGGAUUCGCACCCAACCGAACAAGGCCUUAGGUGAAUUGGAAGAUGUUUUGACAUGUUAAAAUGGUGCAUCCUGUGCUAGUUGACUGGUCAAUCUUUUCAUUUGUUGGGAGCUGAAAGUUGUAUUUCCAAAUUAACAGAGGGUGAACCGUGGUUCUCAGGUAUGAUGCAAAGCAUUCCAUGUUGUGUUUACUAAUAUCAGGUGCUCAUUCACGUAUGAUUUUAUUGAUUAUUGAAGAAUAAACAGGUUAUAUAGUGUUUGCUUGGACUGUAAAUUUUCUCUCUUAUCAUUUGUGAAUUUUAGCAAUUGUUUCUUAUUGAUCCGUCUUUUCUUCCCGGUAGGUGAUAUCAGAAUUAUCGAGUCCUGCCAAUCACAUGAGAUCACUGAUCUUAUUUUGGUGCAUGGUUAGCCUGAUGGUUUGAUUGUCUGUCAUCUAUCAUUAGGGACAACUGCAUACUUUGGUUUACUCAAUGUGGUAAAUGCCCAUGUCUGUUUUAUUCACGAUGAGCAGAUGCAGUAUACAACAUGAGACAACAUUCUUGGCGGCAGCUCGUGGUCCCAUUUUUUCGCAGGACCUGCCAAAUUUAGUUGCAAGUAAAGAUGCAGAUUUUUCAUAUGUUGAUGCUGUUUUUUGUUGCUUGGCACAUGUAACAACACAGGUUGGUAGCUUCAUCAUGCUUUUUCUGAGAUUUUUUUCUAUCAAUUGCUAAACUUAUGAAGGAAUCCAGUUAUAUGCUCAGCUCUCAAUUGGAAGAUAAGAUUUUGUAUCGAACACACUUAGAGCAAUGUCUGAUGGCAAGUUUGUUAUCAAGAAAUUAUUAAAGGCUUACCCCAACAAUUGGAGAUUGUUGGUCCCUCUGCGGUAUGCUCUAUACAAACACAUGCUUUACCUAUGUUGGUAUCACCUCGGUUGCUAUUGAACAACCAAUCUUUCAGACUUACCAUGCUCGUAGGAUUUUCGAUUGCGUGACAUCAAUGAGUAUGCUGAGUGGUAUGGCACUAUGGCCAUGCUCAUAGGGCACUGAAACUUCAGGUGUUCUUGAGUACUAUACCCUACAGACUUGUUAAUAUACCAGCCAUUGGUUACACAAAUUUUGAAGUUACUCAGUUCUAAAGUUCCAGUUUACUGAGAUGUUUCAUCAAUUUCUUUGUACAUUACCUUUGGAGCUUGGAUUAGAUUCCUGUGUAGCCUAUGAUGUCUUCUAGUCCUCUUGUGUCAUUAUGUUUGUUUGUUGUGAACUCAUAAGAGGUUGUAUAUGGUUUGACGGAGGUUCUUCGAGAUGAAAUAAGAGAUGUGCGGCUUGUUGCCAACCCCCGCAUCUAUUCAGCUCCCUCUUGUUGCUCUAAUUAAGGUGAAAAUUAAUAAAAGUUCUUAGUCUUCCCAGAUCAAAGCAACAAGCAUUUAGACUCAAUAGCCCUCACUUGUGAACCAUCUGUUUUUGUUUUUGUAAUAUCUUUUUUAUUCUAUCCAAAAAGAGGUUGUUAUUCAUGUUAUUAUUAUUUAUUAACCUGCAUUCGAUGGUUAUGCAGUAAGACAGUAACAUGCUUCUGUGAGCAAACGUUGAUGUUUAGAUCAUGUACAACAGUGCAUGUAAAUAUCAUUUCUUUUAUUUAGAAUUCCACACACCCAAUUCAUAUGAGAAUAUCUUGAGAAGAUCAGUUCUGCCACUGCUGCUGUUGUAGAAUGAAUUGGAUGAGCUCUUCCUUUAGUUGCUGCUACUUUUAGCCCUUAUUUCCUUGAGAACAUCUUCAAAGUAUAGAUAAGAAAAUUACGUGGCUAUAGAAGGAUAUAUGUCAUUCAAUAAAACACCAAAGAAAAAUAACUUUGAAAUCUAUAUAUUUUAUUGACUGUGCACCUAUUCCAUCUACUAAAUAACUUCUGUGAGGUAAUCCUGAUCAGAAGUUUUAUACAACUUCUCUUCUUUGAAGCUUCUUUUCAUUCCCGUGCUCUCCUCUUUUAUAUGAAUUAUGUAGGUGGACCUGUUAGGCCGUAAUAUUACCAUGUGCUAAGAUUUUGUUCCUCUGUGUUGGAUUUGGUUACAAAAUCAAGGGAUAGAAAAUAUGAAUAUUCGUGUGCUGCCCACCAAUGGAACAUUUUGUUUUUUUACUGUGACUAUUCUGUAUUUUGUUUGCUUCGUCCAACAACGACGUUGACUGGACAAGAGGUAGGUUUUCCCUUUGUGUUUAGAUUCUUAUGUCUUUCCAGAUGCUCUAUUUUCAACCAAUUGAAUGAUUAUAUUAGCCCUGCAGUUGUAAUCAAUCCCCGGGAAACGAGCAACUAGAGCAAUCAAUAAUUCGUGACUACGUCUGCUUCAUGCUCUACAGGGAGUCAGAUGGCUGUCCUAAACAGAGGGUCGGUGUUGCACGAGCUGAAGCUGCGAACACCUUCAUAUCCUGAUCGUCUGAAAAUCUUUCUUAGUUGCUACAGUACUCUAUUUCAUGAGGUUCCAUAUUGAUUGAUAUUCAGCACCAAUCUGCAAAGAACCAAUAGGUGACACAUCCUGAGUCCUUCGCCGUGGCGUGGACAAGACGCCCUGCCGGAGCAGGGUGUGGAUGAGUUGGUGGCUCCGGUCACGCACACCGGCUGGUACUGCUCCGGCGAGCCACCGCUGCCGUUGCCUGUCUCAAUCUCGCUUGGCAUCAACUUUAGGCGAGGGCGCUGAACGCAGAGAAGGGAAGAAAAAACUAUGGGCGCUCUUACUAGAGCUGUAAUUAUGCACAUCCGAAAAGAAGCUAAGCUGCAGUGUGUCUGUACUGUGCUACAGACGAGAUUCGUUUGUAUUGGCUGUCAUGCAUUUCUCUUUACUUUUCACAUGAAGUAGCAACAUAAUAUGUUGAUGAAAGAGCUCA